CGAGAACUCACGUCUCCUGCGAUGUUUUGGAAAGCGACACUAUGGAUCAUCAGUGAUGCUUUGUUGUUGUUUACAAGAUAUGGCUACUUUAAAAACCAAACUAACACGUCACAUGACUAACACGUCACAUGACCACACGAGGAGUUCAGGAUCUCCGUGACUUCACAAACCCACAAAGUGAACCCACGGUCAGACUUAAAGCUGCGGCUCUUCGGUUGCUUCCACAUGGCUCUCAACAUGGCCGACUCACCUUUACUCUGAAAGAGAACCGUUGAGGACUUCAUUACCCAGAAUCCUCUCUGAGGGUUGUCUUACAUUACAGGAGGUGCAGCUUUAAGGUCUGAGGUGGAUUUGCUCUGCAGGUGUGGUCAGAUCUGAGGGGGCCGUCAGCGAGGGACCGACUACAGACCAGGACCUGCAGGACCUGCAGGACCUGGAGGACCUGGAGUACCUGGAGACGUGCAGGGGGUCUAACUCCAGACCCAGCAUCUCACAGUUAGUCACACUGCAUCAUGGAGGGCGGCGCCCGACCUUCCCGGCGCUGCAGGCGGUGCCCUGGGCCACGGUGGCGGGAUCUGACACGUCGUCUCCCAGGUGGAAGAAGGUUCCUCUGCAGACCAGG